AUGGCAAGUUUCAUUGCUGAGAGUCUGGAGAUAAUGAAGUCUAUUUCUGAGAGGCUGUAAAAGGUGAGUUUUUUCUCUAACCAACUGGAGAUAAGAGGUCAUUCUCUUAGAAACUGAUAACUGUGAGUUCUUCUUAGAAACUGGAGAUGGCAAGUUUCUCAUCUGAGAGGCAGGAGAAAGUGAGGUCUUCCUCUGAGAGGCUGGAGGUGGUGAGACUCUCCUGAGAUGUGAAAGAAAAAAAAAUCAUGCUUUAAAAGCCUGGAGAAAGGAAGUUUCCCUGCCAAAAAGCAAAAGACAGUGAAGUCAUAUUCAGAGGUGAAAAAAAAAAAAACCCCCACAAAACAUUCUUGUGAGAAUCUGGUGAGAUCCUCCUUUGAAAAAUUGGCAACAGUGAGUUUCUCCUCAGAGACAACAUCUGAGAAGGUUUGAUGUUUGCAGAAAGAAAGAAGCUGGACAUAGUGAGAAGCCUGGGACUGUGAGGUCCUCCUCCAAGAGGCUGGAGACUGCAGGUUUUUCUGCUGAGAUGCUGCAGACUGGGAGUCCCCCUUCUGAGAGUGUAGAGAAGGUGAGGUUCCCUUUCGAAAGGCUAGAGAUGUCUAGGUCUUUCUCUGAGAGGCUGGAGAUGGUGAGGUCCUUCUCUGUGAGACUGGAGACUGCAAGGUCCUUUUCUGAGAGCCUGGAGAUGGUGAAUGUCCCUGUCAAAUGUCUUGGCCAGACUGGGUUUCUGCUGGUGCUUGACAGUGUGGGGGAGAUGGGAAGGCCGAGGGUGAGUGGAGGGUGAGUUUGCAGAGUCUUCAGCUGGUAGCCAAAGCCACAAAGAACAUCUUUGCUGUGGAAAGCCAGAAAAGCCAGGUGCCCCUGAACUUCUUUAGUAAUUGUGUCUACUUAGACCCCUGGUUGUGGAGCCUAGAUCAGGAUCUUGGGAAGCCUCACAAAGCUGCCAUCCAGGGGAAACUAUGGAAGGUGCAGCAGAUCCUUGUCCUCAGUAGAAGCACU
rnacentral:lncRNA from 1 species